GGUAGGGGAGAUCACGCGAGAGCAUGGCCUCCACCUCUCCUCCCCACCGCCAUCUCCACGUUCUCGCACCGGCGCUGGGGUGCAGGCUUUCAGUGGUCUCAGGGCUACGGCUUGUCGGUGCCUCGCCGCACAGUCCCCUUUGCAUUGAAGGACACGGUCUUACGGUGUAGGAGCAUUUUUGAGGUGCAUUCCUGGAUUUGGAGGCGAACCCCCAAUGGUUACCUCCACAGAGGCUUUGCGAAGGGCGCUCACUGACUUAGGUGAAGAGCGAAGGCUCAAGACUGUGCCGCUUUAUAGUGGCCCCUUGACGUCCAGAAGUUCCCCCCAGCGCCGGUCAUAAGCACUCCCGCCGCCUGGGCCCCGCCCUGCCUGCCAGGCGCCCUCCAGCCUCAGCUCCCGGACGCCCGGCGUGGCCGCUUUCUCGCGUCUUGCUGACCCGGGCCGGGGGCGUGUGCUCCUCCUGCAGCGGACGGAAGAUGCUGGGCCACGCAAGUUUCCCUGGGCUUGGUUAACCACCCCAAAGCCCAUUUCCAGAAGGAAAGGGUGUUGAGGAGGAGGGAUAGAAAGUCGAGAAGAGGGCCGGCCCUCUUCUUGGCUAGGCUUCAUGUUUGACCUGCUGGGCCUGAUUUUGCGAGAAUCCCCACACCCUUGGUACUUGUAUUAGUCUGCUCAGGCUGCCUUAUGGCAAAAUACCAUAGACUGGGUGGCUUAAACAACAGACAUCUUUA
rnacentral:lncRNA from 1 species